GAUGAACGCUAGCUACAGGCUUAACACAUGCAAGUCGCGGGGCAGCAUGGGGGUUGCUUGCAAUCCCCGAUGGCGACCGGCGCACGGGUGAGUAACGCGUAUCCAACCUGCCCUUCACCACGGGAUAACCCGGCGAAAGUCGGACUAAUACCGUAUGUUGUCCAUUGACGGCAUCCGAUUUGGACGAAAGGUUUGGCGGUGAAGGAUGGGGAUGCGUCCGAUUAGCUGGACGGCGGGGUGACGGCCCACCGUGGCGACGAUCGGUAGGGGUUCUGAGAGGAAGGUCCCCCACACUGGAACUGAGACACGGUCCAGACUCCUACGGGAGGCGGCAGUGAGGAAUAUUGGUCAAUGGGCGUAAGCCUGAACCAGCCAAGUAGCGUGCAGGAUGACGGCCCUAUGGGUUGUAAACUGCUUUUAUGCGGGGAUAAAGUGGCCCACGUGUGGGUUUUUGCAGGUACCGCAUGAAUAAGGACCGGCUAAUUCCGUGC
rnacentral:rRNA from 1 species